CAGCCGCCGCGGUAAUACCAGCUUCUCGAGCGGUGGGGGCGAUUAUUGGGCCUAAAGCGUCCGUAGCCCGCUUGUUAAGUCCUCCGAUAAAUCCGGCGAUUCAAUCGCUGGACCGCGGAGGAUACUGGUAAGCUAGGGGGCGGAAGAGGCUGGCGGUAUUCUUAGGGUAGGGGCGAAAUCCUAUAAUCCUAGGAGGACCACCAGUGGCGAAGGCUGCUCACUAGAACACGCCUGACGGUCAGGGACGAAAGCUGGGGCAGCGAACCGGAUUAGAUACCCGGGUAGUCCCAGCUGUAAACGAUGCUAGCUAGGUGUUGGGUCGGCCACGCGCCGCCCCAGUGCCGCAGGGAAGCCGUUAAGCUAGCCGCCUGGGGAGUACGGCCGCAAGGCUGAAACUUAAAGGAAUUGGCGGGGGAGCAC
rnacentral:rRNA from 1 species